rnacentral:lncRNA from 1 species
AUUUUACUCUCUCGGUACUAUUUUUCAUUAAUUCAUCAAUUUCAUUUCAUCCUGGCUAGGUUCUUUCCUCACUUCAUUCCCAGCAUGCACUUGUACAUGCUGUACACUCCACUCUCUUCAGUACCAGGACAGGACUACAAAUUCUUUAGAGAAUGUACAGCCAAACAAGGUGACUUACCGCCUGCCAAGAGAGCUUAUGAAGAGAUUUCAUUUCUUGGGCAUCCAGGAGCAAGUGGCUGAUAGAAGUGCACCCUGAGGAGAGACUGAUGGAAUGGAAACAGCCUGGACAAGACUCAAACAGCAAGUAACAGGGGGCAUAUGGUUUGGAUAGAGUGGAGAAGUGCAUAGAGCCUGCCCAGUCGAGGCUUACAGCCUGUAAAUAAAACACCGGGCUGUUGUGUCUUAUAUAUGGGCAAACUAGAAUAAAUAAUUCAUUUACAGAGAUUGGUGGAGGCCUGACCGGCUCUAAGCAUGGGAUAC